GUGAAAGGUAUGAAGCGGAUAGAGAAGGUGCUUCAAUGUUUUAUACUGGUCAGAAUUGGGCUUUUAGCAGCACGGGAAGCUUUAUGGACAAUGAUGUUGAUGCUGAUAACUACAUCAUAACAAAUACAUCUGCUCUUUCAAAUGUCUCUGUGACUGAUUCAGAACUGUACACAAAAGCAAGAAACUCUCCUCAAUCUCUUACAUACUAUGGGCUAUGUCUCAUAAAUGGGAAUUAUACUGUUAAACUCCACUUUGCAGAAAUUGUAUUUAUAAAUG
rnacentral:misc_RNA from 1 species